CCACGGGAGGUUCAUAAUGUGAAAAGCUGAGAAGAGGAUAAAGUUACUUUGAAUGUGAAGUUUCGGUGACUUUCUUAGGCAAGUGACUUUUUUAGAUCCCAUUGAUUAAGGAAUGUUCUUAAAAAUCACCCUGAAAAAAACACAAAAUUUAGUCGGUUUGGUUUUCAUUGCGUGUAUGUAAAUUUCAUGUGAGAAACAUCGCCUUCCUUGUUUU